CUGAGUUAUCUAACUCCAAACCCAUGUGAACUACCUAUGUUGCCUCGGCGGGAACAACCUACCCGGGACCUACCCGGUAGCUACCCUGUAGCUGAGGUUGCCUCCGCCGGUGGACUACCAAACUCUUGUUUUUACGUGACACUCCUGAGUACACUUUAAAAUAAGUCA
rnacentral:misc_RNA from 1 species